CUACUAUCUAUUUUUGUGGUUUUCCCAUCAAGGCCGAGGAGCUAGGGUUUCUUCCAGACAAUCAAAGGCCCAAGGUUAAGAUUUCUCUAGAAAAUCAAGGCCCAGGGCUAGGGUUUUGAUAAGAAAACCAAGGCCCGAGUUUAUGAUUUGCUAGAGAAAAUUUUGAUUGUUCUUUUUCUAGGAAUUCAUUUCUACAUUCGCACGAUCCGAUCUUCUAGCGAAAGACAGAUCGAUGAUUAGUAUUUCUCAGAAAUACAGCAACUGUGUCGACGAUACUAGCUACCUGAGAAUUACUAGCAUCGUUUGGGUUUAGGGCUUUUCGAUGGCAAAGGAGAACACAGCGGCUUCGCAGGCCACCGUCAAUGGCAACAAUACACUCACGAGCUCUCUACGAUGUCGUCCAUAGGGAUCGCAAGAGGAUGUGUUUUUUCUUAGGGAAACGACGGUAAUGGCGAGAAUGUACGAGAUCUCGAUGAUGCCGUCCACGGGUUCCUCAUUCUCGGCGCGAUAAUAGACUUGUGUUAAUAAGGGCUCCAAAAUAUAGCAAGGAAUUCUUCAUGGGGUCUUGGACACACCCAAUCUGCAAUCUGGGUUUGAUUUACUUUUAAAGACCUUGAACUUUCUCCUAUCACAAAUUACGUUAAAUCUUCUAUAUGAUUGAAUUUUACCACUCAUCUUUAGGGCUGUAGUACUAAAUGGACAAUGUUGACUUUCGUGAUCUGCAGAGAUCCGUUUCUGUGCUCUUGUUCUUUUGUGUGUCUGUGUGUGAAUGCUCAAACAUCCAGUUUGAUAUGCGACGCAUAUCAAACCUUAGUUGAUUGCAUAACAUGAAUUUAUAGUAAUAUAUUUUAUUCAUUUCCUUACAUGAUUUUGAUAAGUCAUGGGUGAUGAGAAGACUGCCUUUUGCAGCACUGGAUUAAUUCUUAGUUGUAGAGCAGAGUCACUGCACCUUGAUGUCAAAAUAGACUGUUUUCUAACUGAUUGAGGGUUAUCCGUUUUCCAUUAUUAUUUGUCUUUUUUUAACAAUGUCAGACU